rnacentral:lncRNA from 10 species
GCCUGUUUGUUUGAAUUUUUCUCUGUGUUCCUCCAUUUUCAGAGAUAAGGAUGCUUUUUCCUUCCCUGUAGGUCUAAGGAGGGCAUCUGUCAGAUGAGGGUCAUAUAACCUACUUUAGGGGAAGGUCAGUGUAUUAGUUGGUUUUCAUGCUGCUGAUAAAGGCAUACCUGGACUGGGCAAUUUAUAAAAGAAAGAGGUUUAAUGGACUUACAGUUCCACGUGGCUGGGGAGGCCUCACAAUCAUGUUGGAAAACAAGGAGGAGCAAGUCACAUCCUACGUGGAUGGUGGCAGGCAAAGAGAGAGAAUGAGAGCCAAGCAAAACGGGCUUCCCCUUAUCAAACCAUCAGAUCUCAUGAGACUCAUUCACUAUCACAAGAACAGUGCAGGAAAGACUCGCCCCCAUAAUUCAAUCACCUCCCACUGGGUUCCUCCCAUGACAUGUGGGAAUUGUGGGAGUUACAAUUCAAGAUGAGAUUUGGGUGGAGACACAGCCAAACCGUCUCAGUCAGAGAGUCCUUCCUAGGUUUUAUAAUCCACUUCAGGGGAGAAGUAUGGGGAAAGAGGAUACAGAAAAACAGGACACAGAAGCUAACAAGAAACUCCCAGGAACUCGAGGCACAGGGGCAGGUUCAUGUCACAAUACUCUUUCUCUCCAUCUUUUCCUCUCCUUCAGCCAUUUUUCGGGACCUAAGAUGCUAAACUUAGGGUCCUUCUUUCUCAGGCCUUUCCAGGAGUUCUUCCUCAUCCUUGGCUCCCAUCUCCCCUUCUGACUCCUCUGGGCCCCUGAGUCCUCUACUCAGUUGGAGGAAGUUGGCUUUAUCUGCCAUGGCCUCUGCAUCUCUAGGCCAUGCUAGAAGCCCACUAUAUAACCAUCCAAUAAGUUCUUCUUGCCUGCUUCCCAGAUGAAGCUAAUUUAUCAAGACAGGGUUAUUGCAAUAGAAAAAGAGUUUAAUACAAGAAGAGCCAGCUAAAUGGGAGACCAGAGUUUUAUUAUUACUCAAACGAGCCUCUCUGAAAAUGUGGAGGCUAGGUUGUUUUUUUUUUUCCUUGAGACAGAGUCUUGCUCUGUUAUCCAGGCUGGAGUGCAGUGGAGUGAUCUCGGCUCACUGUAACCUC